AAACCAUGAUGCAUACACUGCCUUAAUAAAAUUUUGAAUCUCUCCCAUGCUUCAAAUAGUAAUUCUCUAUUUGCCUGAGCAAAACUUGUAAUGCAAUUCCUCAUAU